GGAUGUCCUUUGGUUUACUCGUGGGCUUGUCUAUUCAUUCAUUCAUUUCUUCAACAAAUAUGACGUCUGCCACCGCCCAGGCACCGGGACCCAAAUAUUAGCAGGAAAUGAGGGCUCCUGAAAGGAUGUUUUAAAAUCAACUAGAGGCUAAUUGGCCAGGCGUUCCUGGGUGGGGGCAGGAAGUCUGAAGGUUACGGGGUGGGUACAGCAACAGACUCUUCCCGAAGAGCACAAGGGGUCAGGAAGGAGCCGCAGAGUCUCGGAGCAGGGAGAUGCCGUGUGACUCAGGCCGGGUCUGCAGGCACACCUGGCUGAGCAGGGAGCCGCUCUGAGCACAACGGCCCAGAAGGGCCCCCGAGUCCAGCCCGGCGGCCCAAGUGGGCGGGACUGGGUCUCACGGGUCUCACGGGGGUCGACUCCUGCGGGGGCUUCAGGUGACUCGGUGCUAAAGGAUCGGCCUGCAACACGGGAGGUGCGGGUUUGAACCCUGGAUCAGGAAGAUCUCCCGGAGAAGGAAAUGACAACCCACUCCAGUAUUCUUGCCUGGGAAACCCCACGGACAGAGGAGCCUGGUGUCCAUGUGGUCACAAGAGCUGGACACGACUGAGCGACUAAACAAUGGCAACAACGGCAGUUCAGCCUACACCCCGUCUCCCAUGGUAGAGAAGAGUGACCAUAGCACCCAGCUGUCCCCCACCCAGGGGUCUCUCUGUGACCGCACUGGGAAGAAGCCUGCAUGGGGAGGAGCAGCCUUCUCAGCCCUGCAGACCGCCCCCAACCCUGACCUUGGGGCAGGAGAGCCACUGAGAGGAGUGGAGGGACCCCCUAGCCACGGCCUGGGCGGCGCACGUCGGGACACAUCCUUCCUGCUGUUGCUGCGCUCCACAGUCGCCAUGCCUUCCCCCACUUUGCCACCAUCUCCAGAUAGAAGUGCCAGGGGUACAGGAAGAAUGUGCCUAGCCUUGGGGAGAAUGUAUGGUGGUACGUGUCAUUUUGUUUUGUGUAGGUAUUAUUCCUGCUCAUCGUCCCAGGGAAGAGUUAAAGAGGCUUACACAAACAGACUGUGUGUGUGUGUGCUUAGUCGCUUCAGUUGUGUCUGACUCCUGCAACCUAUGGACCGUAGCCCACCAGGCUCCGCUGUCCAUGGAUUCUCCAGGCAAGAAUACUGGAGUGGGUUGCCAUGCCCUCCUCCAGGGGGUCUUCCUGAUCCCGGGAUCUCCUGUACUGUAGGCAGAUUCUUUACCGCUGAGCCACUGGGGAAGCCACAUACAGAUUACCAUAGGGUAAAAGUGAAUAACUGAGGGGAAAGGAAGCAUAAAAACAGAACUAAGCCAAGGCUGAAGGCUGGAUCGCUGGCCUGCAUUACUGUUUCCAUCACAGUAAACCUGCCUCCUCUGUGGGUUUUGUGGGAAUUCCCACUGCCGAUGAAAUCGCUCUGAAACACCGACCUGCGGUGUGUGGGUCUCCUUGUUUCGGCGGGCAGGUGAGUCAUCGCCUUUUGUCUCUUUGCUGAGAGAAGGUUCCUUGAGGGCAGAAGUUGUGCCUUGCUCUCACCCCAAGAGCCUGACAACACAGCCGGCCUGUAGGCCCUGAUCACUAGUGUCUACGAGAGCAGACGGAAUAAAAAUCACCCUCUGACACUGCA
rnacentral:lncRNA from 1 species